GGGGAAUAUUGGACAAUGGGCGAAAGCCUGAUCCAGCCAUGCCGCGUGUGUGAAGAAGGUCUUCGGAUUGUAAAGCACUUUAAGUUGGGAGGAAGGGUCGUUACCUAAUACGUGACGAUUUUGCCGUUACCGACAGAAUAAGCACCGGCUAACUCUGUGCCAGCAGCCGCGGUAAGACAGAGGGUGCAAGCGUUAAUCGGAAUUACUGGGCGUAAAGCGCGCGUAGGUGGUUCGUUAAGUUGGAUGUGAAAUCCCCGGGCUCAACUUGGGAACUGCAUCCAAAACUGGCGAGCUAGAGUAGGGCAGAGGGUGGUGGAAUUUCCUGUGUAGCGGUGAAAUGCGUAGAUAUAGGAAGGAACACCAGUGGCGAAGGCGACCACCUGGGCUCAUACUGACACUGAGGUGCGAAAGCGUGGGGAGCAAA
rnacentral:rRNA from 1 species